rnacentral:rRNA from 1 species
AUUGAACGCUGGCGGCAGGCUUAACACAUGCAAGUCGAGCGGGGGAAGGUAGCUUGCUACCGGACCUAGCGGCGGACGGGUGAGUAAUGCUUAGGAAUCUGCCUAUUAGUGGGGGACAACAUCUCGAAAGGGAUGCUAAUACCGCAUACGUCCUACGGGAGAAAGCAGGGGAUCUUCGGACCUUGCGCUAAUAGAUGAGCCUAAGUCGGAUUAGCUAGUUGGUGGGGUAAAGGCCUACCAAGGCGACGAUCUGUAGCGGGUCUGAGAGGAUGAUCCGCCACACUGGGACGGAGACACGGCCCAGACUCCUACGGGAGGCAGCAGUGGGGAAUAUUGGACAAUAGGGGGAACCCUGAUCCAGCCAUGCCGCGUGUGUGAAGAAGGCCUUAUGGUUGUAAAGCACGUUAAGCGAGGAGGAGGCUACUUUAGUUAAUACCUAGAGAUAGUGGACGUUACUCGCAGAAUAAGCACCGGCUAACUCUGUG